rnacentral:rRNA from 1 species
UACAGAGGUCUCAAGCGUUGUUCGGAUUCAUUGGGCGUAAAGGGUGCGUAGGCGGCGCGGUAAGUCGGGUGUGAAAUCUCGGGGCUUAACUCCGAAACUGCAUUCGAUACUGCCGUGCUUGAGGACUGGAGAGGAGACUGGAAUUUACGGUGUAGCGGUGAAAUGCGUAGAUAUCGUAAGGAAGACCAGUGGCGAAGGCGGGUCUCUGGACAGUUCCUGACGCUGAGGCGCGAAAGCGUGGGGAGCGAACAGG